rnacentral:rRNA from 1 species
GUGGGGAAUAUUGGACAAUGGGCGAAAGCCUGAUCCAGCCAUGCCGCGUGUGUGAAGAAGGUCUUCGGAUUGUAAAGCACUUUAAGUUGGGAGGAAGGGCAGUAAGUUAAUACCUUGCUGUUUUGACGUUACCGACAGAAUAAGCACCGGCUAACUUCGUGCCAGCAGCCGCGGUAAUACGAAGGGUGCAAGCGUUAAUCGGAAUUACUGGGCGUAAAGCGCGCGUAGGUGGUUCAGCAAGUUGACGGUGAAAUCCCCGGGCUCAACCUGGGAACUGCCUCCAAAACGGGAGGAGUAGAGUACGGAAGAGGGUAGUGGAAUGUCCUGUGGAGCGGUGAAAUGCGUAGAUAUAGGAAGGAACACCAGUGGAGAAGGCGACUACCUGGACUGAUACUGACACUGAGGUGAGAAAGCGUGGGGAGCAAACAGGAUUAGAAACCCGGGUAGUCC